ensembl:ncRNA C37A2.9 ncRNA
AUUUUUCUAACAAAUAUAGUCUUGGGGAAUUAUAAAUAGUUCGUUUCUCCUUUACUGUAAAAAGUUUUUUGAAAUUUAAGCCAAAACUGAUAAGUAUUUUAGUUUUCUACGGCGCGAAAUUUGAAUUGCCUGAAGGGAAAA